rnacentral:rRNA from 1 species
AUGUCUUCCUCCGCCACCUCCCACGCAAGCCUCAGUGGCCAGGUCCCGGAGAAACUCUCUCGCACGAACUACAUGCUCUGGCGUACUCAGAUCACGCCCCAGCUGAGAGGGGCAGGUCUCUUCGGCUAUGCCGAUGGCACCAUGCCCGAACCCGCGCCCCUUCUUGUCACCAAAGACAAGGAUGGGAAGGAAACGUCCGAGCCCAACCCUCUCCACCCCAUCCGGGUCAGGGACGACCAGCAGGUGCUCGGCUACCUCCUCAGCAACCUCUCCAAAGAGGUGCUGAUCACGGUGACCGCGAUCACCACCGCGCACGGCCUCUGGUCGGCGCUGGCAGGCAUGUUCUCGUCGCAAUCCUUGAGCCGCGUCAACAACAUCAGCACCGCCCUCAUCAACGCUCAAAAGGGAAACCGGUCCCUCGCUGCCUGCUUCGCCUUCAUGCGCGGGCUUGCCGAUGAACUCGCCGCGGCGGGCAAACCCAUCCAGGAUGACGAGCUCAUCUCCAUCCUGCACGGGCUGGACAUGGACUACCAGCCCCUGGCCUCAGCUCUCGACGCACGCAUCACGCCCGUCACCCUCGACGAGCUCUUCGCCAUGCUCAGCAACUUCGAUCAG